AGAGCGCUGUUGUUGCCUUUCCGGUGGGCAGGUCUUUAUUGACCUGUCCGCCGGGGGGUUUGCCGCAGCAUCGUUCUUGUAUGGCGGGGCACCCUUUUUCCAUGAACCUUCUGAAAAAAAAAACAGUAGUGUCUGAGCAAAUAACCACUGAAUCGUUAAAACUUUCAACAACGGAUCUCUUGGUUCUGGCAUCGAUGAAGAACGCAGCGAACUGCGAUAAGUAAUGCGAAUUGCAGAAUUCAGCGAGCCAUCGAAUCUUUGAACGCACAUUGCGCCCGCCAGCAUUCUGGCGGGCAUGCCUGUCCGAGCGUCAUUUCCUCCCUCACGCAGCAGCCCUGCGUGGUGUUGGGGCGUCCUGCCCCUCCCCCUCUUGUAGGGGCGAGGGGCAGCCCCCGAAAGCCAAUGGCGGGCCGGCAGCGGGCUCCGAGCGCAGUAAGCAGCAAUGCCCUCGCUCUGGAU
rnacentral:rRNA from 1 species